rnacentral:misc_RNA from 1 species
GCAUUUUCGAGCCAAAAGUGUGAAACGCCUACGCGGGGAAAUCAGUCCAGCGGACUGAUUUCCAACCCCGUUUCAAUGCGUUGAAAAAUGCGGCAAAACAAAUAGUUAGAGCGGUUUGGCAAUGGGAAUUGCCUGGCGCUCCGGCAAGG